GGGUUGUGAGGUUAAGCGACUAAGCGUACACGGUGGAUGCCCUGGCAGUCAGAGGCGAUGAAGGACGUGCUAAUCUGCGAUAAGCGUCGGUAAGGUGAUAUGAACCGUUAUAACCGGCGAUUUCCGAAUGGGGAAACCCAGUGUGUUUCGACACACUAUCAUUAACUGAAUCCAUAGGUUAAUGAGGCGAACCGGGGGAACUGAAACAUCUAAGUACCCCGAGGAAAAGAAAUCAACCGAGAUUCCCCCAGUAGCGGCGAGCGAACGGGGAGGAGCCCAGAGCCUGAAUCAGUGUGUGUGUUAGUGGAAGCGUCUGGAAAGGCGCGCGAUACAGGGUGACAGCCCCGUACACAAAAAUGCACAUAUUGUGAGCUCGAUGAGUAGAGCGGGACACGUGGUAUCCUGUCUGAAUAUGGGGGGACCAUCCUCCAAGGCUAAAUACUCCUGACUGACCGAUAGUGAACCAGUACCGUGAGGGAAAGGCGAAAAGAACCCCGGCGAGGGGAGUGAAAAAGAACCUGAAACCGUGUACGUACAAGCAGUGGGAGCACGCUUCGGCGUGUGACUGCGUACCUUUUGUAUAAUGGGUCAGCGACUUAUAUUCUGUAGCAAGGUUAACCGAAUAGGGGAGCCGAAGGGAAACCGAGUCUUAACUGGGCGUUAAGUUGCAGGGUAUAGACCCGAAACCCGGUGAUCUAGCCAUGGGCAGGUUGAAGGUUGGGUAACACUAACUGGAGGACCGAACCGACUAAUGUUGAAAAAUUAGCGGAUGACUUGUGGCUGGGGGUGAAAGGCCAAUCAAACCGGGAGAUAGCUGGUUCUCCCCGAAAGCUAUUUAGGUAGCGCCUCGUGAAUUCAUCUCCGGGGGUAGAGCACUGUUUCGGCAAGGGGGUCAUCCCGACUUACCAACCCGAUGCAAACUGCGAAUACCGGAGAAUGUUAUCACGGGAGACACACGGCGGGUGCUAACGUCCGUCGUGAAGAGGGAAACAACCCAGACCGCCAGCUAAGGUCCCAAAGUCAUGGUUAAGUGGGAAACGAUGUGGGAAGGCCCAGACAGCCAGGAUGUUGGCUUAGAAGCAGCCAUCAUUUAAAGAAAGCGUAAUAGCUCACUGGUCGAGUCGGCCUGCGCGGAAGAUGUAACGGGGCUAAACCAUGCACCGAAGCUGCGGCAGCGACACUAUGUGUUGUUGGGUAGGGGAGCGUUCUGUAAGCCUGUGAAGGUGUGCUGUGAGGCAUGCUGGAGGUAUCAGAAGUGCGAAUGCUGACAUAAGUAACGAUAAAGCGGGUGAAAAGCCCGCUCGCCGGAAGACCAAGGGUUCCUGUCCAACGUUAAUCGGGGCAGGGUGAGUCGACCCCUAAGGCGAGGCCGAAAGGCGUAGUCGAUGGGAAACAGGUUAAUAUUCCUGUACUUGGUGUUACUGCGAAGGGGGGACGGAGAAGGCUAUGUUGGCCGGGCGACGGUUGUCCCGGUUUAAGCGUGUAGGCUGGUUUUCCAGGCAAAUCCGGAAAAUCAAGGCUGAGGCGUGAUGACGAGGCACUACGGUGCUGAAGCAACAAAUGCCCUGCUUCCAGGAAAAGCCUCUAAGCAUCAGGUAACAUUAAAUCGUACCCCAAACCGACACAGGUGGUCAGGUAGAGAAUACCAAGGCGCUUGAGAGAACUCGGGUGAAGGAACUAGGCAAAAUGGUGCCGUAACUUCGGGAGAAGGCACGCUGAUAUGUAGGUGAAGUCCCUCGCGGAUGGAGCUGAAAUCAGUCGAAGAUACCAGCUGGCUGCAACUGUUUAUUAAAAACACAGCACUGUGCAAACACGAAAGUGGACGUAUACGGUGUGACGCCUGCCCGGUGCCGGAAGGUUAAUUGAUGGGGUCAGCGCAAGCGAAGCUCUUGAUCGAAGCCCCGGUAAACGGCGGCCGUAACUAUAACGGUCCUAAGGUAGCGAAAUUCCUUGUCGGGUAAGUUCCGACCUGCACGAAUGGCGUAAUGAUGGCCAGGCUGUCUCCACCCGAGACUCAGUGAAAUUGAACUCGCUGUGAAGAUGCAGUGUACCCGCGGCAAGACGGAAAGACCCCGUGAACCUUUACUAUAGCUUGACACUGAACAUUGAGCCUUGAUGUGUAGGAUAGGUGGGAGGCUUUGAAGUGUGGACGCCAGUCUGCAUGGAGCCGACCUUGAAAUACCACCCUUUAAUGUUUGAUGUUCUAACGUUGACCCGUGAUCCGGGUUGCGGACAGUGUCUGGUGGGUAGUUUGACUGGGGCGGUCUCCUCCUAAAGAGUAACGGAGGAGCACGAAGGUUGGCUAAUCCUGGUCGGACAUCAGGAGGUUAGUGCAAUGGCAUAAGCCAGCUUGACUGCGAGCGUGACGGCGCGAGCAGGUGCGAAAGCAGGUCAUAGUGAUCCGGUGGUUCUGAAUGGAAGGGCCAUCGCUCAACGGAUAAAAGGUACUCCGGGGAUAACAGGCUGAUACCGCCCAAGAGUUCAUAUCGACGGCGGUGUUUGGCACCUCGAUGUCGGCUCAUCACAUCCUGGGGCUGAAGUAGGUCCCAAGGGUAUGGCUGUUCGCCAUUUAAAGUGGUACGCGAGCUGGGUUUAGAACGUCGUGAGACAGUUCGGUCCCUAUCUGCCGUGGGCGCUGGAGAACUGAGGGGGGCUGCUCCUAGUACGAGAGGACCGGAGUGGACGCAUCACUGGUGUUCGGGUUGUCAUGCCAAUGGCACUGCCCGGUAGCUAAAUGCGGAAGAGAUAAGUGCUGAAAGCAUCUAAGCACGAAACUUGCCCCGAGAUGAGUUCUCCCUGACCCUUUAAGGGUCCUGAAGGAACGUUGAAGACGACGACGUUGAUAGGCCGGGUGUGUAAGCGCAGCGAUGCGUUGAGCUAACCGGUACUAAUGAACCGUGAGGCUUAACCUUACAACGCCGAAG
rnacentral:rRNA from 1 species